rnacentral:lncRNA from 1 species
AAAAGUUCCAUACCCUAGAUUUAAGUCCUAAACUUCUAAACUUAUUGACAUGCCUAGACAUCUAGAAGUCUAGAAUGCGAUUCGGAACCAAGAAUCUAAGAAACUUAACUAUUACAGAUCAAAUACAAUAAAUUUGACGGGAAAAAUGAUAAAUAAAAUGUAUAUUUAAGUAUAAUAUAUCACAUUUUACCCAAAAAAAAAAAAAACCGAAAUCACAAAAUCCAAC